rnacentral:rRNA from 1 species
GACAUCCCCUGACAACCCAAGAGAUGGGCGUCCCUUCGGGGACAGGGUGACAGGUGGUGCAUGGUUGUCGUCAGCUCGUGUCGUGAGAUGUUGGGUUAAGUCCCGCAACGAGCGCAACCCUCGCCUCUAGUUGCCAGCAUUCGGUUGGGCACUCUAGAGGGACUGCCGGCGACAAGUCGGAGGAAGUGGGGAUGACGUCAAAUCAUCAUGCCCCUUAUGACCUGGGCUACACACGUGCUACAAUGGGCGGUACAAAGGGCUGCGAACCCGCGAGGGGGAGCGAAUCCCAAAAAGCCGCUCUCAGUUCGGAUUGCAGGCUGCAACUCGCCUGCAUGAAGCCGGAAUCGCUAGUAAUCGCGGAUCAGCAUGCCGCGGUCGAAUACGUUCCCGGGCCUU